rnacentral:rRNA from 1 species
UGGGGAAUAUUGGACAAUGGGCGCAAGCCUGAUCCAGCCAUGCCGCGUGUGUGAAGAAGGCCUUUUGGUUGUAAAGCACUUUAAGCGAGGAGGAGGCUACUUGGAUUAAUACUCUAGGAUAGUGGACGUUACUCGAAGAAUAAGCACCGGCUAACUCUGUGCCAGCAGCCGCGGUAAUACAGAGGGUGCGAGCGUUAAUCGGAUUUACUGGGCGUAAAGCGUGCGUAGGCGGCUUCUUAAGUCGGAUGUGAAAUCCCUGAGCUUAACUUAGGAAUUGCAUUCGAUACUGGGAAGCUAGAGUAUGGGAGAGGAUGGUAGAAUUCCAGGUGUAGCGGUGAAAUGCGUAGAGAUCUGGAGGAAUACCGAUGGCGAAGGCAGCCAUCUGGCCUAAUACUGACGCUGAGGUACGAAAGCAUGGGGAGCAAACAGG